rnacentral:tRNA from 1 species
AUGAUACUAGUAAAAAUCUAUUACAUUGUCUUGUCAAGACAAAAUUGUAGGUUAAAAUCCUGCGUAUCUUA